rnacentral:rRNA from 1 species
GUAAGUCGCAAGCGUUAUCCGGAAUUAUUGGGCGUAAAGCGUCCGUAGGCGUCUCACUAAGUCUGAUGUUAAAUCUUGGGAGCUCAACUCCAAGUUCGUAUCGGAAACUAUUGAGAUUGAGUAGUGCAGGGGCAGAUGGAAUUCCAGAAGUAGGGGUAAAAUCCGUAGAUCUCUGGAGGAACACCAAACGCGAAGGCAUUCUGCUGGGCACUUACUGACGCUGAGGGACGAAAGCAUGGGUAGCGAACGGGAUUAGAUACCCCGGUAGUCCAUGCCGUAAACGAUGGAUACUCGGUAUUGGAGGCUUCGACCCCUUCGGUGCCUAAGCUAACGCAUUAAGUAUCCCGCCUGGGUAGUACGGUCGCAAAGAUUA